rnacentral:rRNA from 1 species
UACGAAGGGGGCUAGCGUUGUUCGGAAUUACUGGGCGUAAAGGGCGCGUAGGCUGUGCUGUAAGUCAGGCGUGAAAGCCCCGGGCUCAACCUGGGAAUUGCGCUUGAUACUGCGGCGCUGGAAGGUGGGAGAGGAUGGCGGAAUUCCCAGUGUAGAGGUGAAAUUCGUAGAUAUUGGGAAGAACACCAGUGGCGAAGGCGGCUCACUGGCCCGUAACUGACGCUGAGGUGCGAAAGCGUGGGGAGCAAACAGG